rnacentral:rRNA from 1 species
GUGGGGAAUAUUGCACAAUGGGGGAAACCCUGAUGCAGCAACGCCGCGUGAAGGAAGAAGGCCUUUGGGUCGUAAACUUCUGUCCUAAGGGAAGAUAAUGACGGUACCUUUGGAGGAAGCCCCGGCUAACUACGUGCCAGCAGCCGCGGUAAUACGUAGGGGGCGAGCGUUAUCCGGAAUUAUUGGGCGUAAAGAGUGCGUAGGCGGUUUUUUAAGCGCGGGGUGAAAGGCAAUGGCUUAACCAUUGUUAGCCCUGCGAACUGGGAGACUUGAGUGCAGGAGAGGAAAGCGGAAUUCCUAGUGUAGCGGUGAAAUGCGUAGAUAUUAGGAGGAACACCAGUGGCGAAGGCGGCUUUCUGGACUGUAACUGACGCUGAGGCACGAAAGUGUGGGGAGCAAACAGG